GUAGGGUUCAACAAGCCCGUCAGGACAGC
rnacentral:sRNA from 1 species